rnacentral:rRNA from 1 species
UAGGGAAUCUUCCGCAAUGGGCGAAAGCCUGACGGAGCAACGCCGCGUGAGUGAUGAAGGUCUUCGGAUCGUAAAACUCUGUUAUUAGGGAAGAACAAAUGUGUAAGUAACUAUGCACGUCUUGACGGUACCUAAUCAGAAAGCCACGGCUAACUACGUGCCAGCAGCCGCGGUAAUACGUAGGUGGCAAGCGUUAUCCGGAAUUAUUGGGCGUAAAGCGCGCGUAGGCGGUUUUUUAAGUCUGAUGUGAAAGCCCACGGCUCAACCGUGGAGGGUCAUUGGAAACUGGAAAACUUGAGUGCAGAAGAGGGAAGUGGAAUUCCAUGUGUAGCGGUGAAAUGCGCAGAGAUAUGGAGGAACACCAGUGGCGAAGGCGACUUUCUGGUCUGUAACUGACGCUGAUGUGCGAAAGCGUGGGGAUCAAACAGGAUUAGAUACCCUGGUAGUCCACGCCGUAAACGAUGAGUGCUAAGUGUUAGGGGGUUUCCGCCCCUUAGUGCUGCAGCUAACGCAUUAAGCACUCCGCCUGGGGAGUACGACCGCAAGGUUG